GCUUAGAGCAUGGCAUGAUGGAACCCAAACGUGCAAAACCAGUGGAGGAAGAAGAGGAGGAAGGCUCCAACCAUGGCCCAAAUGCAAAGAGGAGAAUGUUGAGGCUCAGAGCGUGGCAUGAUGGAACCCAGAUGUGCAAAACCAAUGGAGGAAGAGGAAGAGGAUGAAGGCUCUGAGUGUGGCACAACAGCACAGAGCAGAGUGCUGAGGCUCAGAGCAUGGCACGAUGGAACCCAGAUGUGCAAAACCAACGGUGGAAAAGGAGAAAGAAGAGGAGGAAGAGGAAGAUGAAGGCUCCCAGCGUGGCACAACAGCACAGAGCAGAGCACUGGGGGAAGGAGGACUGGCUCAGAUCUCUCCGGCCGUCUCGACGACGUGGAACAGCGUGACGUUGUAGAGCACCUGGUGCCCGUUGUUCCAGGUGUAGAGGACCCUCUCCCUCGGGUUGUAGUCCAGCAUGGAGAUGUGUGAGUACUGGUUGUGGAAGGGGAUGUCCGUGUAUUCGUAGCUCGAGGUGGACGUGUGAUAAGCGAAGUAGAUUUUGGCUCCUGCCAGGUGGGAGUUGGUGACGUACAGAGUCCCGCAGAUGAGGAACGAUUCCCCUGCGCUGCGUUUCGGGUAACCCGUGUCCCAGCUCCUCAGCACCUGUUGGUGGGGAGGGAGUAAAGGGGGGGGGAAAUGGCCCAAGGGUGGUUCAAAUCCCAGUGGGAUCGCUGAUGGAAGUUGGGUUUU
ensembl:lncRNA